GGGGAAUAUUGCACAAUGGGCGAAAGCCUGAUGCAGCAACGCCGCGUGAGUGAUGAAGGCCUUCGGGUUGUAAAGCUCUGUCUUCUGGGACGAUAAUGACGGUACCAGAGGAGGAAGCCACGGCUAACUACGUGCCAGCAGCCGCGGUAAUACGUAGGUGGCAAGCGUUGUCCGGAUUUACUGGGCGUAAAGGAUGCGUAGGCGGAUACUUAAGUCAGAUGUGAAAAUCCCGGGCUUAACUUGGGAACUGCAUUUGAAACUGGGUAUCUAGAGUGCGGGAGAGGAAAGUGGAAUUCCUAGUGUAGCGGUGAAAUGCUUAGAGAUUAGGAAGAACACCAGUGGCGAAGGCGACUUUCUGGACCGUAACUGACGCUGAGGCAUGAAAGCGUGGGGAGCAAACA
rnacentral:rRNA from 1 species